GCCUGAACCAUCAGCAUGAAAUCUGCCUGAGACGGUUGUUGAAAAUUCACAUCGCUGGGCCUUGCCGCAGGGUGCCUCUUGAAGCCCAAGUGGAAGCCAACAGAAGAGGGGUCCGUGUGUACAGAUGGGGCUGGAGUGAUCCAUGUUCCAACAGCAGGCCCUUUAACCUCACUUGAAUAUGAAGGCUGCAUAGGUCACAAGUCUGAAGACUACAAGCUACCUUUGCUUAAAAGGAACCACACCAUCACUGAUAGCUAACUGCUAGAUUGUUCUCCAGCAUAUCAGGACUACAUUGAAUUGCUUGAGUUGCGCUUCAAUUAAUGUAGAGAACUUCACCGAACCACACAUAACCAUUGAAGUAACCUGCUGUUUACAGUCUAUCAUGCUCUGCCAAGGGAGUUAUUUUACAGUGACAAAACUUCUCUUCUGGUGCCCUGACACAUCCUAGGACUUUGAUGUUGGUAAUUCUUUCCCCCCAGCAAAUGUUGGUUCUAAAUCCACAGAACUACUUGAGAAACCAGAUGCAAAAUUAUGCUCUCCCAGGAGGUAUGCAGAACAAUAUUUAUCUCAUAUUGUGGAUGUGGCAAUCAAGACAGAGAGGCUAAAUGCUUUACCUAAAGUCAUCCAACAAAUAUUUGGUAGAACCAGGGCUAGAAUGCAAUAAAUGGAAAUAGAGUUAUUUCGGUGUUUCUUUUCCUGAUACUAGCUUAUUCAUGACAAAUGUAUAAUGGCUUCAGAAGGUGUCACUUGUUGCUAGGGAUAAACUUUACCUGUAAUACUGUAGCACUUACUAUUAGUUAACGACCCACUAUUUAUUCUCUUUUUGUCUUUGGAAUCUUUGGAAUGUGUAAGUAUUUGCCUCCCAGGAAGCUCUCUUUAUCCUCUCCUCAGGAGAAAAUCCUGAUUUGGUCUAAACCAAUCUUGGUAACUAUCUUUCUUGCCAGUUUUGUUUUAGGAAUGGGCAUGCAACUCAAUUCUAGCCAAUGAAAUAUGAGGAGCAGUCUACUGGGGAGUUUCUGGGAAAGUUUGUUUUUCUUGUCCUAAGAAAUAAAUAAUGGGGUAAUAAAGCUUCAA